CAGCCACUUCCAGCUUUUAGCACCCAGAGGUAAAGUUCCUUUUCCAAAUUCAAGCAUUGUUGUGCUGAUCACCAAAAAAUCAUCAUCAAAAAAUGCCAAGGGUGAGCAAGGGAGGAUUUCAUUAAAAAUUGAUAACUAUUAGGACUUUUACAUACUACAUCUUUAAAUACACAACUCAAAACAAGAUUAGGCUUUUAAUAAAUGUAAGAAAAGUCUUUUUUUUCAGUAUAUUUAUCGGUCAAAUUCUGUUGUUCUGUGCCUGGACAGUUAAGGUGUUCACUACCUGUCAAACCUUCACAAUGACCCGACUAACUUGUAACUGAAAGAGUCAGUGACUUUCAGCACUCGAGCUCCUCUCACUGGGAUUUCCACACGCUGUUGUCAGCUCAGCUGUGAUCCACAGAACUUUACAAAUGACUGUAUUAUUAUCAUAAUUUGAUUAUUGAGUCAUCCAUAAAAGGCGUCUCAGCUGUCAACUUUUGUGUGCAGCGCAUGAUUAGGCUCGGUUUUGUUGACGGAUCAUAGUUUAAACUUGCAAAAGAUCUGCUUUACUUCUGAACAGACACCCUCAGAAUCCAAAUGAUUGUGUAGAUCGUGAAAUGUUUAUCCAUUUUUCCGAUGGCCGGGGUUUCACAGUAGGAAAAUAAUGCAGUCUGUCCCAGGCUGAAGAACACAGCUGGACUCUGCUUGACAUUAAUAAUUUAGUUACAGCCUCACUGUACAUUUUCCACUCGAUCAUGUUUCUACUGUUGCUGCUACAAUGGUCACCAAAUUUUCAAAACUAGCAGCUUACAAUAAAGACGGCCUACGUUAGUGCUGGCACCCACACCUUGUACUCCAAGACAAGGAAACAAGAUAAAACUCCAGCAGGAUGAUUCCUUUGGCCUCCCAUGCAGAGAUAGAGCCAAAAACCUGGCACUGCUGACAGACUGCCCAGUGCUCUCAGCUGUUGAGUUGCAUCUUUUCCAAUACACAGGCACAUGAACGACUUCACCAAGGUUUCUUGUGACGUUACAGAUAGUGGCGUGGUCUUAUGUGCAAAGUUUGUUUUUUAGGAUGUUUAGUCUUUGGUUUUAGCAGUUAAUGGAUGUAAACAACCGAACUUUAAAAUCUGUGCUGAAGCCCCAGCCAAAAAAAUAUGAUGCCAUCCCACUUUCCCAGCUAAUAAUCAUCCUGCUGAACAUCACACUGCCACAUCCUGCCCCCAAACAUCCCCACCCAUGGGUAAUUUU